rnacentral:rRNA from 1 species
AUUGAACGCUGGCGGCAUGCUUUACACAUGCAAGUCGAACGGUAACAGGGUGCUUGCACCGCUGACGAGUGGCGAACGGGUGAGUAAUGCAUCGGAAUGUACCGUGUAAUGGGGGAUAGCUCGGCGAAAGCCGGAUUAAUACCGCAUACGCCCUGAGGGGGAAAGUGGGGGACCGAAAGGCCUCACGUUAUACGAGCAGCCGAUGUCUGAUUAGCUAGUUGGUGAGGUAAAGGCUCACCAAGGCGUCGAUCAGUAGCGGGUCUGAGAGGAUGAUCCGCCACACUGGGACUGAGACACGGCCCAGACUCCUACGGGAGGCAGCAGUGGGGAAUUUUGGACAAUGGGCGCAAGACUGAUCCAGCCAUGCCGCGUGUCUGAAGAAGGCCUUCGGGUUGUAAAGGACUUUUGUCCGGGAGCAAAUCCUAGUGGUUAAUAACCGCUGGGUCUGAGAGUACCGGAAGAAUAAGCACCGGCUAACUACGUG